UGAAUACGAGAUACUAAGGUAUCGAAGUGGUUGAAGUCAUACUUCCAAGAAAAGCUCGAAAUAUCAUAAGUAAUAAAUGCCUGUACCUUAAACCGACACAGGUAGGUAGGUAGAGUAUACCAAGGGGCGCGAGAUAACUCUCUCUAGGAACUCGGCAAAAUAACCUCGUAACUUCGGAAGAAGAGGUACCCUCGCAAGAGGGUUGCAAUAACCAGACCCUGGCGACUGUUUACCAAAAACACAGGUCUCCGCAAAUUCGUAAGAUGAAGUAUGGAGGCUGACGCCUGCCCAGUGCCGGAAGGUUAAAGAAGUUGGUCAAUCUUCGGAUGAAGCUGGCGACUGAAGCCCCGGUGAACGGCGGCCGUAACUAUAACGGUCCUAAGGUAGCGAAGUUCCUUGUCGGGUAAGUUCCGACCCGCGCGAAAGGCGUAACGAUCAGGGUGCUGUCUCGGAGAGAGGCUCGGCGAAAUAGACAUGUCUGUGAAGAUGCGGACUACCUGCACCUGCACAGAAAGACCCUAUGAAGCUUUACUGUAUCUUGGAAUUGGGUUUGGGCCUUGCUUGCGCAGGAUAGGUGGGAGGCUUUGAAGAUAUUCUUGCGGGAAUGUUGGAGCCAAUGGUGAGAUACCACUCUAGCAUGGCUAAAAUUCUAACUUUGAACCGUUAUCCGGUCGAAGAACAGUUUCAGGUGGGCAGUUUGACUGGGGCGGUCGCCUCCUAAAAGGUAACGGAGGCGUGCAAAGGUUCCCUCAGGCUGGUCGGACAUCAGUCGUAGAGUGUAAAGGCAUAAGGGAGCUUGACUGCGAGACCUACAAGUCGAGCAGAGACGAAAGUCGGCCUUAGUGAUCCGACGGUUCCGAGUGGAAGGGCCGUCGCUCAACGGAUAAAAGUUACUCUAGGAUAACAGGCUGAUCUCCCCCAAGAGUUCAUAUCGACGGGGAGGUUUAGCACCUCGAUGUCGGCUCAUCGCAUCCUGGGGCGGUAGUACGUCCCAAGGGUUGGGCUGUUCGCCCAUGAAAGCGGUACGCGAGCUGGGUUCAGAACGUCGUGAGACAGUCCGGUCCAUAUCCGGUGCAGGCGUUAGAGUAUUGAGAGGAGUCCCCCUUAGUACGAGAGGACCGGGGGGAAUACACCGCUGGUGUGCCAGUUAUCGUGCCAACGGUAAACGCUGGGUAGCCAAGUGUAGCGUGGAUAACUGCUGAAAGCAUCUAAGUAGGAAGCCCACCUCAAGAUGAAUACUCUCACCGUUUUAAACGGUUAAGAUCACGGGAAGAACACCCGUUAUAUAGGCACUAAGUGUAAGUACAGUAAUGUAUUCAGCUGAGGUGUACUAACAGAUCGAGGGCUUGAC
rnacentral:rRNA from 1 species